rnacentral:rRNA from 1 species
UACAGAGGGGGCGAGCGUUAUUCGGAAUUAUUGGGCGUAAAGGGCGCGUAGGCGGCUUGACAAGUCUCAGGUGAAAUCCCUCGGCUCAACCGAGGAACUGCCUUGGAAACUGUCUGGCUUGAGGCCGGGAGAGGGUAGUGGAAUUCCCAGUGUAGCGGUGAAAUGCGUAGAUAUUGGGAGGAACACCGGUGGCGAAGGCGGCUACCUGGACCGGAUCUGACGCUGAUGCGCGAAAGCGUGGGGAGCAAACAGG